CAAAUUCCAGAUAACACAGAUCUGUGUAAAAAAAUUACACAGAUUGUAGAACAUGUUCUAGCUGUCAAAACUGUGUAGUUUUAUAACACAGAUCUGUGUAAAAAGUUACACAGAUUUCCGAUCAGCUUUCCUUUCAAAUCUGGGUAAAAAAGGAAAAGCUAAGAUGGCGUCGCUCUUGCAGCAAACUUUUACUUAUCAACAAACUGAUCAUCAUAUGCACCGUAAACCCAUGGGGAGCAGUGCUCGUAUUUGGAUUCAAGUUGUCUCACACACACUGAAUUCCUCCGACGUGGUGCUUUUGCGGAACCUCGGAAGUCCAGAGCCCCGGAACUCGAGCCCGCGCUAACCAUUUUCCCAGUUCCGGUUCCGAGCGGAGAGUUCCAUAGACAGCACUAGUAAACGGACACUGUCAGCUUUUCCGGGCCUGGGUAGUACGCUGAGUGGUCAAAUAUUUAGUUUAUGUUGUCUUAUGUAUAAAACCCAAAACAAAGAUUAAUAAAUGAUAUUAUAUUUUUUACUUGUAUUGGCCUGAAAAAUCAAAAUUAGAUUCUGAUUUUUUUUUAAUUUUUACCCGGAUUCUGUGCAAAAUUUUACCCAGAAUCUGUGUAAUAUUUUACCCAGAAUCUGUGUAAAAUUUUACACAGAUUUGACAGACAACGGUUGUACACAGUUCUGUGUACAAGGCUUUUACACAGAUUCUGUGUAUUCCAGGUUUUGAGCGAUCUGUGUCAAAUUUUACACAGAUCUGUGUUAUUUGGAUUUUCGG